rnacentral:rRNA from 1 species
CUGGCUCAGGAUGAACGCUAGCUACAGGCUUAACACAUGCAAGUCGAGGGGCAGCAUGUUGGUGCUGCAACCAAUGAUGGCGACCGGCGCACGGGUGAGUAACGCGUAUCCAACCUUCCCCAUAGUAGGGGAUAGCCCGGCGAAAGUCGGAUUAAUACCCUAUGUUAUCGUUGAGGACAUCUGAGAUGAAUCAAAGGUUUACCGCUAUGGGAUGGGGGAUGCGUCUGAUUAGGUUGCAGGCGGGGUAACGGCCCACCUGGCCGACGAUCAGUAGGGGUUCUGAGAGGAAGGUCCCCCACAUUGGAACUGAGACACGGUCCAAACUCCUACGGGAGGCAGCAGUGAGGAAUAUUGGUCAAUGGGCGAGAGCCUGAACCAGCCAAGUAGCGUGCAGGAUGACGGCCCUAUGGGUUGUAAACUGCUUUUAUCGGGGGAUAAAGUGAGGGACGUGUCCCUUUUUGUAGGUACCCGAUGAAUAAGGACCGGCUAAUUCCGUGCCAGCAGCUGC